rfam:Clostridium thermocellum ATCC 27405, complete genome.
AUAAAGACAAUGAAGGGAAAAAAAUGUACUUGAUUGUCACAGAGAGUCGGGGUUGGUGAGAACCGAUACAUUAGAGUACAUAUAUAGCUCGUCCCGGAGUUUCAAUCCUGAAACAUAAGUAGGGAUUGACGCUAACCACGUUACGGUUUGGUACGAACAAGUACCUAAAAUGAGGGUAUGGUUACUUUUGUAUUGUAAUCAUGCCGAAUCAGGGUGGUACCGUGGAGUUUAACCCUUCACCCCUGCG